UACGUAGGGUGCGAGCGUUAAUCGGAAUUACUGGGCGUAAAGCGUGCGCAGGCGGUGCUGUAAGACCGAUGUGAAAUCCCCGGGCUUAACCUGGGAACUGCAUUGGUGACUGCAGCGCUGGAGUAUGGCAGAGGGGGGUGGAAUUCCAGCGUGUAGCAGUGAAAUGCGUAGAGAUGUGGAGGACACCGAUGGCGAAGGCAGCCCCCUGGGCCAAUACUGACGCUCAUGCACGAAAGCGUGGGGAGCAAACAGG
rnacentral:rRNA from 1 species